CUUUGUGGAACUGCGAUAGCGGUGAAGUGUGAAUCGGCGAGGGCGAAGGUCCUGCGAUGGCAGCAAUCACAGAGCAGGAGGCCCGUCGGCUGUGGAAAGAGGCAGAUGCAGUCUGUUUUGAUGUUGACUCAACUGUGAUCAGGGAAGAGGGCUGUGACGAGCUGGCACGCUUCCUUGGAAAGGCUGAGGAAGUGGCAGAACUGACGCGGCGAGCCAUGAGCGGUGCGAUGGAGUUCCGCGAGGCGCUGCGGCUGCGGCUGGAGCUGCUGCGACCGUCGCACGCGGACGUGAGCCGCUUCACGAGCCAGCUGCCGCUGAACGUCUCCCCAGUGAGCUCGUACAGAAGCUGCACAGUCGCGGGGUGAAGGUGUUCCUCGUCUCCGGCGGCUUUCACUGUCUGAUCCGACCCAUCGCCGCGGCUCUCAACAUCCCCGCAGAGAACAUCACCGCCAACAAACUGCUGUUCGACUUCUUCGGGAACUACGCCGGCUUCGACGAGUCGCAGCCGACGUCGGCGUCCGGCGGCAAGGCCAGAGCCCUCCAGCGGCUGAUCGAUGAACACAAGCUUCGGUGUUUAGCCAUGGUCGGAGAUGGCGCCACCGAUCUGGAAGCGGCGCCGCCCGCCCACGUAUUUAUCGGGUACGGCGGUAACGUGGUGCGCCCCAAGGUGCAGGAGGCCGCCCCCUGGUUCGUGCACCACUUCCAGGAGCUGAUCGACGCUCUGUCAGAGUCGGGCUGAUGGUACAUGCCGUCUUCACCGUGAGAUUUCGGCGCACCGCGCCAGUGAUAUGGAUGCAAUAUGACGUAGAUAGAACGGAAUCUCGAAUUGGUCGAGUGGGUAUGUUCGGAGAAGAAUCAUUCUACAUUUUGCGUUUAUUACGACGCAAUGGGAAGUAUUUUUGGAGGUGACUGUUACUGGGUAGAGGGUUUUAUCAUUUAGCCAGGUUGUAUUCACGCGUGUAUUGUGGUUUGGGAUGGGAUGACCGUACCGGAUAUGGACGUAGGAGACUGUGCGGCAUUGGCAACCUCGGUCCAUGUGAUGUUAUUAUAUCGCGACGAUGUUGGGCAGAUUUUCUGUUGAUUAUUUUAACCAGCUCUAACUGCUAACGCCUGUUCGUACCCAGUAGUUUUUUUUUUUUGCAGCUAUUUUUGCUCACGCGUUGUCGCCUCAAAGAACUCGCGACACCGUGCACGUUUGUGAUUGUGAUGCGCUGUCGCGGUUUGAGUCUACUAUAUACCGUGGGUUUAUGGUGAGUGUUUGCCAUAUCACCUCAGGGCAAUAUAAGGGCAAUACAGGUUAUGCUAUGA
rnacentral:misc_RNA from 1 species